UGAGUGUGAGAGGUAGGUAGCCUUGGGGCUUGGGGUCAUGUGAACAAGAAGAAAGAGAAGCUGCAAACAGCAAUGGGCUCCAGCACCCCCCAAGUGAUUUCCAUCCAUCCAAGUGAUGUUGGCCACCCUGGUGACAUGUAGAGAUAUGGCUAGACCCACCCUCCA
ensembl:misc_RNA